ensembl:lncRNA PVT1 Pvt1 oncogene
AGGCCAACAGAGAUUUUGAGAAACACAUUGAAGGAUCUGUUAACACUUGAUAUACCCAAUAAAAGCAGUGGUUGUGCCAGUGCUGAUCUGUCUUGAUGUGAAUGUGAACAAUGGGAACCUGAGCUGAGCAGUUAAUGCUAGGGUGACAGAAACUGGACCUCUCCCAAGACAUGUGACAGAGUAAUACAGCAGCCAACUUCUUCGCCAAAUUAAAGUUUUACAAGAUUUAACCUGUCAUCAAGACCUGGGAUUUUGGUGAGCCAGUCUUGGUGCUCUGUGUUCACCUGGUUCAUCUGAGGAGCUGCAUCUACCCUGCCCAUGCCAUAGAUCCUGCCCUGUUUGCUUCUCCUGUUGCUGCUAGUGGACAUGAGGUAACCACAGCCUAGUUCUGUGAUAAGCUCUUCACACCUGUACCCAUAUGGACUGUGGGAGAGUUUCUCUGAUAUGGACUGUGAUGCGGAAGGACAGAAUAACGGGCUCCCAGAUUCACAAGCCCCACCAAGAGGAUCACCCCAGGAACGCUUGGAGGCUGAGGAGUUCACUGAGGCUACUGCAUCUUGAGACUCAGGAUGAAGACCCAGCUUGGGGCUGUCAAAGGUUCAUUACCCCAUUUUACAGACAAUUAAUACUCCGAGAUGAAGUGACUCACCAGGGGUCGCCUAGCUAAGCAGUGGAGAGUGGGCCUCCCACCCAGGCCUUCUCACUCUGACUCCUGUUCUCCACGUCAUUGCAUAUGGCGACAUGCGGGUCACGUGAUCACACAUCCCUAGCCGAUAUGGAAUUGUGAGCUUCUCCUGGGUCUUCCGAGGAAGGAUGCUUUCAGGAGUGCUUUGGAAUGAAGGCAGUGGAGGCCAAGAGACCUCUAGGUCAAAGCCAGGCGGGAGGGUCCUCUCAGGGGCCCAGCCGACAAGUUGCAUUUCUCCCUCAGAGGCCUGAAGAGGCAGAACACCCCAGAGGAGCCUGGGGCCACCACCCAGCAUCACUGUGGGAAAACGGCAGCAGGAAAUGUCCUCUCGCCUGCGUGCUCCACCUCGGUCCACGCCUUCCCUCCUUCUGGAAGCCUUGCCUGACCACUGGCCUGCCCCUUCUAUGGGAAUCACUACUGACCUUGCAGCUUAUUAUAGACUUAUAUGUAUGCAGAAAUAUAAUUUUAAUUACUUUUAUAUUGCUCCGAGAGUGAUACCAAAUCAUGAUAGAAAAUUUAAAUAAACAAAAUAGCCAAAUUAAUACCAGUAAUCACCCCAGUCAAAUAUACCCAGCUCACAUUUUGAUGUAAAAUCUUCCAGUACAGUUUCUAUGUACAUAUAUAUAUUUUUAGGAAGGAGAUUAUAUUUUACAUGCUGUUUUCUAGAACGUUCUUUUAAAACUGUAUCAUAAACAUCUUGCCUUAUAA